UCCUCCUCUUGUGUUGCUUCUCUGUCCAUCGAGCCACGGUCCCAAACCACAAGAAAAAAAAAAAAAAAAAAAACUUUCCAGACUUCUUGAAAACCGUCCGCUUUGUGGGCGCAGGGGAAAAGGAGAUAUGAACCGAAAAGUAUGGUCCCGAUGAGCGAGCAGGCGGACGCACCUCUGACCCCGCUGUCUGCCCCAGAACAACUUCCCUGCAAAGACUCCCGGGGGAAAAGCUUAACGUCCUCUGAGGGGAACAAUGAAGAGGAGAGGAGGCAGAGGAGGCGUGGAAGAACACCUGCAGAACUCCAGCUCCUGCUGGACCCGGAGCCAAAACCCUCAGAGAGCAGGAAGAAACCAGCCGCCAUCAGCAGACAGAAACCCGCAGAGCCGCUGUCACCAAUGCUGAGUCUAAGUGACUUUGAAACCAAGUUUGACAGGAAGAAAUCCCAGAGCAACCAGCAGUUGUCAAAGACGAACGCGCAGUACCACAAGUUAUUCAAGGUAGUCUCCAAAGAUGAACUGCUCAAACAGAGUUACACCUGCGCCCUGCAGAGAGACAUGUUAUAUCAGGGCAAAAUGUUUGUCUCGCAAAGCUGGAUCUGUUUCCACUCCAAAGUCUUUGGCAAAGAUAUCAAGAUUGUCAUCCCAGCGAUGUCUGUGAAAUUAAUCAAAAAAACUAAAACUGCAUUAUUGGUGCCAAACGCCCUUGUGAUUGGAACUACAGACAUGGAUCACGUCUUCGUAUCAUUUCUCUCUCGAAACAACACCUUUAAAUUUCUGAAAUCCAUCUGCCCUCAUUUAGAGGUGGAUAAGAUUAGCAGCAGCCCUGUGGCUUCCUCCUGUGAAAACAGCUUCAGAGCUAGCUGCCCCGCGUCGCUUCCUCUGGACUUCUCUGGAGACUUCUCUGACCUGGAUGGAGUUGUGCAGCAGAGACGGCAGGACUUGAUGGAGAGCAGCAGCUCAGGGUCUCAGACUCCAGAUUAUGACAAGAUAAGCGACAUUAGCAGCCUCCCAGACACUUUUCUAAAUGCAGAGAAAACCAGUGAGGUUUCGGUCCACGCAGACAUUCACUUCCAGAGUCCAAGCCAAAAGCACGGAGCCACCCUCAAGAAUGCCCAAAGCAAGCCACCACAUGGACAUACACCAAAAGACACAUCCUCACAGCCAAAGUCCUUACACGUCAUCCUCUUCAUCUAUCUGUUUUUAGUCAGCAUUCUUGUCUUGUCCUCCUGUUACAUGGCCUUCAAGAUUGUGGCUCUUGAACAGCGGUUGAACUCCUUGUUGUCGAUGGGAGAACUCAUUCAUCACGAAAAUGCUGGGAGCCAAAGGUCACAGGUUGAAGUGAACGCUGAGAUCUAUGGGGAGCUCUCCACUAACCUGUUCAAGUUAGAUAAGAAGUCAAUCUUUCCAAGUUCUAAAUAAACGGGAAGGUUGCGCUAAAUCAGAACUCCAAAUGAGGAAGUUUGACUCUUCUCAGCAACUCGGAAAUCUUAAUCCAGCAUGACUGCCGCACAUCUGGAACAUAGUCAUUCAAAGAAACCUCAGGAAGCUCUUGGAGGAGACUUAAAAGACUUGUGUCUGCGUUUCUGUCCAGAAGGAGGCUUGGCUGUUAAUUAGAGAGGCGGUGGAAGGCAUGCAGAGCAGCAGCGAGCACAUUUGGUGGCUCUGUUGCCAAAGCACGGACAGCUCAUACCGAGAGCUCUGUCUAAAAAGCUGUGUGAACAUUUGCUGUGCAAUAAUAGUGUCUCUCUUCGUUUCCCUCAGGACUUUUCUGUCUCUCAUUUCAAACAAAGCAGCACUGCAGCUGUACGGCAGUAUACUUAUGUACGAUAAUUUAGUGUGCAUUUUUAUUACAGUGAUGACAAUUCUAUAACAUACACACACACACACACAUAUAUACACACACCUGGACAAAAUUGUUGGUACCCCUCGGUUAAUGAAAGAAAAACCCA